UUUAUUAAAGGGCCGCGGUAUUUUGACCGUGCAAAGGUAGCAUAAUCAUUAGUCUUUUAAUUGAAGGCUGGUAUGAAUGGUUUGACGAGAUAUAAGCUGUCUCUGUAUAAUGAUAUAUAAUUUAACUUUUGAGUCAAAAGGCUUAAAUAAAUAUAAAAGACGAGAAGACCCUAUAGAGCUUUAUAUAUAAUUGUACUUGUAUUAUUUGGAGGUAUUGUAAAUAAGUAUGAAUUAUAUGUUUUGUUGGGGUGACAUGAAGAUAUAAUAAACUCUUUAUUAUUAAAACAUUGAUUUAUGAUUAAUUGAUCCAUUAUUAAUGAUUACAAGAUAAAGUUACCUUAGGGAUAACAGCGUAAUUUUUUUUGAGAGUUCUUAUCGACAAGAAAGAUUGCGACCUCGA
rnacentral:rRNA from 1 species